rnacentral:rRNA from 1 species
GAGAUACGGGGGUGCCUUCGGGAGCUGUGAGACAGGUGCUGCAUGGCUGUCGUCAGCUCGUGUUGUGAAAUGUUGGGUUAAGUCCCGCAACGAGCGCAACCCUUAUCCUUUGUUGCCAGCGGUCCGGCCGGGAACUCAAAGGAGACUGCCAGUGAUAAACUGGAGGAAGGUGGGGAUGACGUCAAGUCAUCAUGGCCCUUACGACCAGGGCUACACACGUGCUACAAUGGCGCAUACAAAGAGAAGCGACCUCGCGAGAGCAAGCGGACCUCAUAAAGUGCGUCGUAGUCCGGACUGGAGUCUGCAACUCGACUCCAUGAAGUCGGAAUCGCUAGUAAUCGUGGAUCAGAAUGCCACGGUGAAUACGUUCCCGGGCCUUGUACACACCGCCCGUCACACCAUGGGAGUGGGUUGCAAAAGAAGUAGGUAGCUUAACCUUCGGGAGGGCGCUUACCACUUUGUGAUUCAUGACUGGGGUGAAGUCGUAACAAGGUAACCGUAGGGGAACCUGCGGUUGGA